rnacentral:rRNA from 1 species
ACUGUCCUAAAGGGUUGUUCGAGACUAGAACGUUGAUAGGCAGGGUGUGUAAGCGUUGUGAGGCGUUGAGCUAACCUGUACUAAUUGCCCGUGAGGCUUAACCAUACAACACCCAAGGGGUUUUGUA